UCAUUAUUAUUUGUUCGUAAAAUGGAAGCAUAAUUUUUGUUUGGUCACAGAGGCAAUUGACAGCACGCUAUCAGCUAUUAAUACUAACGAAAUUGAUCGAUCUCUUUCCAUAACGUAGUUCUCUUGUUGUCUACCGAAUUGAAACAGACGACCAAACAGACUGUGAAUGAAGUCUUUCAAUCGAUUCUUAUCGAGUUGUUUAUUAAACAUGCUUAUAUGUUCAAUUAUAUGUAAAUCAUUAAACAGCGACAAGACUAAGGUUUUCUGCUUUUUCAAUAUUUAACGCGACAUCAACAUUAGGCAGUCAACUGAUUUACUGAUUUCCGAAAUUACACAAAAAAAGAUUGGCUUCCAUCUUUAAUUAAUUGUAAUGUAUCUUAAAGCGAAAAAUGUCUCUAAAUUUAUCCUUUUUAUUCCGUUAGAUGUCACCCAUCAAAAUCUUUGAACUUAACAUAUGGUAAUACAAAAUAUUUAUUAACGAAAGUUACAAUUAUUAUUAAACAUGUUCGUGACUCUGACUAAUUGUGAAUUUACUGUUAACUAGUCAAUAUAAUCCAAUGUCAAUCAAUGUUUGCUGUUCGUAGCGUUUUACUUGUGUCUUAAGUGUGUUUUGCUAUUCUAAGUUAAUUGCAUUUACAAGGAAAAAUCGAGUCAACUGUGAUUUUUAAAGUCUUAAAGUACUACAGGGAAUGGAUACAAGGAGAUUUUGCAAUGAAACUUGCAUUUAAAGCCAGGCCAAGUUAAACAUUUCACUCAAACCGGAGCAUUUAAAUUGAUGUCUUUUCCUUUCUCAUUUGAUUGGCAUCGAGCUUAAUCGUGUAAAUAUAAAAAUUGAAGCCUUUUGAAAGACGAAAGCUGAUUCUCUCUUUGGAUUCACUUAAACACUGAAAGUGAAAGUUUCAAUGAGGAACAGGACUUUCCAUCUAACGAUGAGAAUGAUAAUUUUCAAUUACCAAUGUUGAUAAGUGUUUGGUAAUAUUACAAAAGCAAAAGUGAGAUUAAAUUCCUAUUGAAUGAACGGUGGUAACAAGUAAACAAGCUGAUGAACAGAAUGCAGUUUAAUUGUGCUCAAUGGUUUGAGACAAAAGAGUCAAAUGGGAAAUGAUGAAAAUACACUUUGCAAUCAGAUGUAAUGUUCAAACAUAAAACAAGAAGACAAACACAGAGGAAGAGUUGAAAGCAAAAUGAUGCUGAUGGUGAUGAGAAGAAGAAAAAAAUUUGUAUUCAGAACCGAGGAUUGAACAUUUCUAUUCAUAGCAACUUUAUUGACCCUGACACGCUCAAGGAACCAUGACAGCAAAAUAUUGCCAUAAAAGUUGAUGAUAAACUAAAAAGAUGGCAAAGAUGGCGAUGAAGAUUGGAGCUGUUAAAAGUCGAAGGAGAAGAAGAAAAAAUUACAAAAAAAAAGAAUCUCGAUUUAUACUCAUUUCCCUCACAAUUCAACACUUGCUUCAGAUGGUAGAUGCUUUACCAUGAUGAACACUGAGUCCAUUAUUCAAUUGCAAGGGGCAAGUGGAUCAACAGCAAUUGAAACAUUUCCAAUAACCAUUACCAUGCCAUUGAAAUGUAUUAACACUCAACUCUUUGAUUAAUAAUUUCAAGUGAAAUGCACAGGGAGUGACUUUUAAUUAGAUAAGUUGCCUUGGUUCAAUGAUAAUAAAUCAAAAAUGGUAAACUUCAUAAUUCAAUCGUGAUUAACUCUGGACUCUUAUCAUUAUCCAAGACUGGAUCAGGCUAAAAUGGGAGCCAUUAAAGUGGAAAAAAACAAAACUGUUUUAAUAUUAAAUAAGAUUCAAUAAUUUGCUCUGUUAUUUCCUUAAAAUGGUUAACAUAAGCUAACAAAAAAUGGUUAUCCAUAAAGCAUUAAAACAGACAAAAAAAGGUGAA